GCUUAUGGCCACACCGCCUGGUUCACGUCCGAUCUCGUUUGAUCUCGGAAGCUAAAAUAGGUUGGGCCUGGUUAGUACUUGCAUGGGAGACUGCCUGGGAAUACCAGGUGCUGUAAGCU
ensembl:rRNA 5S_rRNA 5S ribosomal RNA